rnacentral:lncRNA from 1 species
AGAGACAGUAGAAUAAGGUUGAACUCGUUCUUCCAACUGUGAGGAUUUCACAAAGGCAAUGCCUCUACCAAAACUUGAGACAUUACUAGUGCUAGUUUCCAUUGUCUUUUCCACACUUAACUCUGAGAUGGAUUCCCCAAAGCCUAAGUCUGUUCUGUCGAAUGUGCUCCUCUGACUAGAGAGCAGGCAGUCCAUGGAUGAUGAG